GUGAGAGGAAAGAGGAGCAGAUCAGCCUCCACCCAACAGCUCUGGACAAAACAACCUUUAGAGACAGGUUUAACUUUGUUCACAGAUAUUAAUGUGUUCUCAAGUUGGAUUUCCGUCAAGAUCAUGGACAGGUUGCGCUUAAGAACAGGGAGAAGAGUACCUCCACACGAUUUUGAUGCUGGGAAUAAUGAAAAUGAUUUUGGACAAAGAGGGAGGCCAGGAGGAAGUCCAAGGGGAGAGAACUUGAGAGGACAAGAGGGCAGAAGGGGGA